GACGAACGCUGGCGGCGCGCCUAACACAUGCAAGUCGAACGAGAGAUGAAGAGCUUGCUCUUCAAAUCGAGUGGCGAACGGGUGAGUAACGCGUGAGGAACCUGCCUCAAAGAGGGGGACAACAGUUGGAAACGACUGCUAAUACCGCAUAAGCCCACGGCUCGGCAUCGAGCAGAGGGAAAAGGAGUGAUCCGCUUUGAGAUGGCCUCGCGUCCGAUUAGCUAGUUGGUGAGGUAACGGCCCACCAAGGCGACGAUCGGUAGCCGGACUGAGAGGUUGAACGGCCACAUUGGGACUGAGACACGGCCCAGACUCCUACGGGAGGCAGCAGUGGGGAAUAUUGCACAAUGGGGGAAACCCUGAUGCAGCGACGCCGCGUGGAGGAAGAAGGUCUUCGGAUUGUAAACUCCUGUUGUUGAGGAAGAUAAUGACGGUAC
rnacentral:rRNA from 1 species